GGGUCUUCAAGAUGAAGUAAGCAGUCAUCCUCACGGUGUACUUUUCACCUUUGGCACAGUUGGAUGCCCCAGUAAUCACACAACUAGCUGAAACCAGCCAUAUCUGUAAUUUUUCUGAUAGCUGGCAGAUUUAGAACAGUGACAGGCAGACAAGGAGUAUCCAAAGCUAGCAGAUGUUUGGGAGGCACUGUCUCUAAACUAACUGAUAAAAGGAUGGUGUAAAAUAAUUCACCCAUGUUUAGUGGAGCCACUAAAUUCUGUUAUCUCACCACAGACUUACAACACAAACAUUGUUCUUUACCUUUGACAUAAGUUAAGCUAAAAGUACUUUAACCCUAUGUUUUCCAGGCACUAGCUUUCCUCAUAUCAAGCCCCCUCCCCUUUUCUUUUACCUUUACAAAUUUUUUUGCUAUGUGACUCUAUUUUGCUCAAGAGUUCU